rnacentral:lncRNA from 1 species
UGAAAUAAGGCAAUAUCUAAUAUUUGGGGAAUUCGGAAAAUCGUGCUCAAUUGUACUGGGUAUGACUUUUUCGAUGAACUAAAUAUUUGGAUAACCUUUUUUAUAAUUUAGUGUACGAGUUUUCAAAAGUCAAAAUUCCAUCGUAUUCUUAAAGGUAUAAAGGAUCGUAUUCAAUCGUGCUGGGUAUGAUACCGCAUAUUUUUGAAACGAGAGAAUUUUGACCGCUAAUUUAACUAUUCAAAC